AUGGCUCAGAACGAACGCUGGCGGCAUGGAUUAGGCAUGCAAGUCGAACGGUGCAGCAAUGCAUAGUGGCGCAAGGGUGAGGAACGCGUGAGUAACCUGCCCUCAAGUUGGGAACAGCUUCUGGAAACGGAAAUUAAUACCGAAUGUGACCAUAGGAAGGCAUCUUCUGUUGGUUAAAGGCCGCAAGGUCGCUUGAGGAGGGGCUCGCGUCCCAUUAUGCUAGUUGGUGAGGUAACGGCCCACCAAGGCGAAGAUGGGUAGCUGGUCUGAGAGGACGAUCAGCCACACUGGGACUGAGAACUGCCCAGACUCCUACGGGAGGCUGCAGUCGAGAAUUUUGGGCAAUGGACGAAAGUCUGACCCAAGCAAUGCCGCGUGCGGGAUGAAGGUCUUCGGAUUGUAAACCGCUGUCAAGUGGGACGAAACAAAUGACGGUACCGCUGAAGGAAGUCACGGCUAACUACGUGCCAGCCGCUGC
rnacentral:rRNA from 1 species